rnacentral:lncRNA from 1 species
GGAACAAGGAAUAAGGCUAUGCAGUCAUCAAACAAUUAAUCAUUUAAAGCAGCGAAACACAAAUUGAGGAUCAAUUCAUUUCUUUACAAGAAAUUGGGCAUGAGUACUGGCACUGGUUUUGAAAUGCAAUUUUUUAAUCAUAGCAUAAAGGCACCUCACAAAUCCAUUAAAAAUUCUUAAUCCAAAUAGUCAUCCUAGGAAAACUACAAACUAGUGGAUUAAAAGAAAACAGUUCAACAGAACAUUCUCAGCUAGCGGAUUAAUAAUCAUCUACCAUUACCAAUUUAACUGCCUUGUAAAACAAUUUUACCAACGCCAAAGCUAAUCUAGUGAAGGCUGUGGACUUUAAUAAAAAAACCCCGAUAUUAGAAGAUCAAAUAAGUUAAGAGAUAAAGAAUGUAUCAAAAGAUAGAAAUAAAAAUGCAAACAAUAGUCCAAGAUGACGGGAGAGUAACAUGUGAGAAGACUAUUUAGAACUUAUUUUGACAAGCGUCACUUCCCCCCAAGCCGAGUAAAUAUACCCGCGAUUAUUGUCGACUAACAAGUAGCAACCCUUUUAAGUUCGUUCUCUUCGACGCCGACCAAAAGGGAGACGACUAGACAAGUUAAAGAUAGAAUUUUGACAAUUUUUGCGAUUUGGACAGAACACAUUUUCAAACAUGUAUCAACUAAAGAUCAAAAGAAAUUUUUCAUGAUCGAUGGCCGACAAAUAUCAAAACAUGAUUAAUAUGUUUUGGUCUAAGAAGAUAGAUCUGACAUGAUCGAACCAAAGCUACUUGUAUAAUAGUUGUAAAUUUAAUUAACAAAACAACCACUGAAAGAAACAGAA